rnacentral:lncRNA from 1 species
AUGCCUGGGGCCUGGGGCUCUCAGCUCUCCCUGGGGUCGCUCAUGGAGCGGGAACCCGUGGGGAGAGUCCGGCCGAGCCUUCCACACUGGCUCUUCCCUCUCCACCAGCCAGCACAGGAGCCUGAGACGCUGAAGGAACCAAACUCCAAGUAUCUUCUAUCAAGUGGGUUAUUUGUACCUGAGGACAUCAGAUCUGGGACUGCCGUCGUCCUGGGGCUCUGCCCCUAACCAAAACCAGUGACUCAUGGCAGUUUCUUCUUCUAUCAGUGUUUACAGGGCCUAGAAGGACUGUGAGACUCAGAAGCAGAACAUGCAGGAAAGGGUACUCUUGGAUGUGCUGUCCUAUAGAAUUCCCUGAGUUGAUUAAAAUGUUCUAUUUAUCUAUGCUGUCCAGGGUGAUAGAGUUCCUGCUUAGAUAGUAGCUCCCAUCCCACACUUCCCGGUCCUCUUCUGACUGCAGGCUGUGUCCAGGACAGCUUAGUCUGAGACUACAGACCCCUGGGCUCGAUCUUCAUGGGCCUUCCAGAUCCAGUCUCUACCGUAGCCAUGGCUCAAGCCAUGUCCAAGGACACACAUCACGGUACAGACGGAUGUGGCCAGUACGUUAGUGAUCUCACCACUCUAGCAUCCUGCAGGAGCCUGGCCCGGAGCAGAUGCUGUGUUAACAUUGGAUCAAUGGACUACCUUCUCAUCGCCAGGCCGGUCUCCCUCAGCUACUGGGAUGGCUUCUAGAAUCCCUCCCUAUUAUGUGGACUAAGGACUUCUGCUAUCCAUGGAAGGUGAAUGAAACCAGGGCUUCAGCCUCAUCUCCAUCCUGACUUCCUGGGGUGUGUGCCAAGGUACAGCUGAAAACCAGUGAGCAAUAAUUGGAAACAUCCUGGAUUCAGCAUUGUUAUGUGACAAUCUGAUUUUUAUUUUGAAACUGCAAAACGAAAGCCAUAUAAGCAUCUGCUCUGCAUGAUUAGAGGCAGUGUGGUCCUGAGGAAAGAGGACUAGUCUCAGGGUCAUCCUGGACCUAACAGGCUGUAGUGGACAAGGUGCUCCGUCCCUCUGCACCCCAGUUUUCUCAUAAGUAAAACAAAAACAUUAGACUCUAAGCUUCUUCCUGCUGUUAAUGUGAAUGCUUGAAAAAUGGCUGGU